CUCGGUAUCUUUCUUCCGGAAAGGCCCCGGAGGCAGGAACUUGGGAAGGGGAGUCGGGGUUUUCUACCGGGCUGUGAGGGGCUUGUGCCUGAGCCCCGGUGUCCCCAUCUGCUGUGGAGAUGGAUGAGGAUGGGCUUCCUCUUAUGGGGUCAGGCAUAGACCUGACCAAGGUGCCAGCUAUUCAACAGAAAAGGACCGUGGCCUUUCUAAACCAGUUUGUGGUGCACACGGUGCAGUUUCUCAACCGGUUUUCCACAGUUUGUGAGGAGAAACUGGCAGACCUUUCUCUUCGUAUUCAACAAAUUGAAACAACUCUCAAUAUUUUGGAUGCAAAGCUGUCAUCUAUCCCAGGCCUAGAGGAUGUCACAGUUGAAGUGUCUCCUCUAAGUGUCACUGCUGUCCCAAAUGAAUCACAUUCUGAAAGCACUGCAGAGCAGCCACAGCAGGACAAUACACAAGACUCUGGACCACAGGAAAGUGAAGCUUCAUCAGAAAAUGUCUUAACUGUAGCCAAGGACCCAAGAUAUGCCAGAUAUCUCAAGAUGGUUCAAGUGGGUGUUCCAGUAAUGGCAAUCAGAAACAAAAUGAUAUCAGAAGGGCUGGAUCCGGACCUCCUUGACUUUUCCUAGUCUGCGACUCUAUGAUUCAUCACUUCCUGGAAUUCUAAGACACCCAUAACUUUCCAAGAGUGGAAACUGCCUGAGCUCUGGCUUCCAAGCCCUUCCCAGCCUUCCUGUGAGAGGAUGUGUUAGAACCUCUUGGACAUGGAACCUACCAGGAGAAAUGAGUUGCUGGGAUGACCUUUGAAAGUGACAACCACGGCUGGCUCCAGCCUGAGCUUUCUACUUCCAGACCAAGCAAGAUAUCUGCAAGCUGAAGCAAAAAGUUCACACCAUUCUGGACAGAUCACUGACAUGACUGCCUCAACUGGUGUUCCAUGACUUUUGAGUGUCUGCCAAAUGAACUGGACCAGUUAGCCAUGAUCAUUUAUACAGUCACUGUUAAUUACUUACCACAUCAAGGCCUGGUUAGUUGAGCUGGAAGAAUGCACACCCUGGCUGGAUAGUCCCAAGCCAAAACUCAGGGACACAAAAAUGCCCUACCUCAUUCGUAAGUCUCAUGACCCAAGGUCAUUACUAAUCCCAAUUCAUCCUUGCCAGCAUGCCAGCUUCUACCACCCCUGCAGUAUGUCAGCAACUAGGUAAUUAUUUAAUAACAACUGGAGACAGGUUUGUGCUUCCUUCCCUUACAAGCGAUAAGGGAUUUUCCUGGUUUCAAUUUCAAGGUGGCUCUGUCUUAAUGGCUCUAAAUGCAGUCAAUAGAAGAAUAAAUCCACCUGCUGCAGCCUCUGAGGGAGCUUGGAAACAAUACGUGACUCUUCAAGUAUUAAGAAGAAAUGAAAGACUGAGUUGGGCCCACUGAUCAUCUAGAUGCAUGUAUUAAAGACUCCCAGCAGCUGUCUACAUGCUGGCCAGUUCUACAUAUAUCACUCUUCGUCUUGAAUCAGAUGACUGAGUUAGUACCUGGCACUAGCUUCCCGAGGGUUACUCCUAAGUAUUAUGAAAAAAGGUAAAAUCUAGGCUUUCUCAUCAUUGGUUCUAAUAUUAUCCUGAUUAAUAACCAGAGUAAGAGAGCUGGAGCCCAGGACUCCAAGUGUGUGCUGGAAGUCAGAUGUCAAGCCUGUAUAUUCAACCAAAAGUAAAUGCUAAGACACCAUCACACAUUCAUUUUGAUGGCUACUAUCAAAGGCCCCAGAGAAAAAGCAAAAAAUGAGAGCGAGAAUAAGGAGAAAUUGCAAACUUAUGCACUGCUGGUGGAAAUAUAAAACAGUGCAGCCAUUGUAGAGAAGCUGUAUGAAGCCUCCUCCAAAAGUAUUGUCUGGGGGUAUAACCUCAGUAGCAGAGAGGGGAGAGGAGAGAGACAGAGAGAGGAGGGGCAUAAAACCAUGCAGGGUGGCUCAUACUUGUAGCCUCAGUACUUGGAAAGCAGAAGAAUGACAGUGAGGCCCAGGCGAGCUUGGGCUACAAAGUGAGACCCUGUUUCAAAAAGCCAAGGGGAAAAAAAACGAAACAUGAGUUACCAGAUAAUAUAACAAUUUCACUUGUGAAUGUAUACCCAAAAGAACUGGAAGUAGGGACUCCAAAGGUUGUUUGUUCACCUGUGUUGACACCAGUGUCAUACACAAUAGCUGAAAUAUGGAAGCAGACAGUGUCCUUUGGCUAGUGGCUACCUAAGUCAAGUGUGGGAUAUUGUACAGUGAGAUAUUAUCUAGCUUUAUAAGGGAAGGCGAUACUGUCACAUACUACCAGGCAGAGGAACCGAAGGAUAAUAUGCUAAGUAAAACAAGCCAGUCACAGGUGAUGAGGAUGACCUGGUCUAAAAGCAGGAAGUAAAACAGUUGUUUUUAGGAACUAAAGAGACUGAAGAAUGGAAAAUUCUUGUUUAGUGGCUAUACACACUUUCUCCCUUUUAAUGAAGAGAGUUACAACAGGAUAAAUCCACUUAAUACCAUGGAUGUAUGCUUUACAGGGCCUGAGAUGAUAAGUGUAAUUUCAUGUGGGUUUUUGUUGUAGUUAUGUUUGUUUUUGUUAUUGUUUCUACCCCAUCUUGAGACAAGAUCUCACUCUGCAUUCCAGGCUGGCCUACAAUCCAGACCCUCCUGCUCUAGCCCCUUCAGUACUAGAACUAGGCAUGCCCUGCUACAACCAGCCUAGUAUUUAUAGGUAUUUCGAUGACAAUAAAAACUUAAAAAUA